rnacentral:tRNA from 1 species
GGAUUGUGGCUCAGUGGUAGAGUGCUCACCUAGCACGCAUGAGGCCUGGGUUCGAACCUCAGCACCA